rnacentral:lncRNA from 1 species
AUUUUGUUUUGAACGCAUAUUGACAGCACGCUUUACUUAGUAGCCGGUUCCCAUUUGCCAUACAAUGUAGGUUCUGCUUAAUGUAACUUCUUUUUUGCUUAAGCAUUUGCAUGACUAUUAGUGCUUCAAAGUCAAUUUUUAAAAAUGCACAAGUUAUAAAUACAGAAGAAAGAGCAACCCACCAAACCUAACAAGGACCCCCGAACACUUUCAUACUAAGACUGUAAGUAGAUCUCAGUUCUGCGUUUAUUGUAAGUUGAUAAAAACAUCUGGAAGAAAAUGACUAAAACUGUUUGCAUCUUUGUAUGUAUUUAUUACUUGAUGUAAUAAAGCUUAUUUUCAUUAACAAUUUGUAUUAAAAUGUGGGUUCCUUGAAUUCUUACGUGCUGUUUUAUUUUUUUGAGACAGGGUCUUGUUUUGCCACCCAGGCUGGAGUGCAGUAAUAUAAUCUUGGCUCACCGCAGCCUCAACCUCCUGGGCUCAAGCAAUCCUCCCAUCUCAGCCUCCCUAGUGGCUGGAACUACAGAAAGGGUACAUUCGCCAGCAGUUUUGCCACGAGAGUACACCGAACAAAGAGACAGGGUCAUUUGUAACCUGAUGCGUCCACCCUACUGCUGUGUCCGGUUUCCAUUGGCUGGAACGGGACCUCAUAUUCUGUAUUUGUCCUGAUUGGGAAGCAACUUAAAACUUUUUAAAAGAGGCGAAGGCAGAAGAGAACAAAGGAAGGAGAAAGUAACUUGUGGAAUGGUGAGAAAGGCAUGAGGCGAAUUCUCAGCCAUGACAAGGCUGAAGGCCAGCAGGAACAGGCUCUAGCGAAAUGGGUGCUGUGUCCCCUUCCUGCAUGUGGCAGAAAGUUGCAAAGGUAUGAGAGAGGAGACAAACGGAAACCAUUCUCCCUUAUCUCCAGCUCCAAAUUUCCCCUCCCACU